GAGGAGGGACGAUUGCGAAGAGGGAACCGAAGUCGGGUGGAGACGACCGAUGAAGAAAAGAAAACCCGUCCUCGUCCGGGGACGUGUGCACCUGCAGAGACACAGGACAGAACUCUGACAAGAGCGACCAGCGGAGAAUGUCUCAUUAAAUCCUGAACAGAGCAAGUUGCAUUUCUGUGAGUCACUGUGAGUCCAAAGAGGUCUUAAGCUGGAGUCACAGAGAGGUGAACAACUACCGACCUGGAGGCCCGGGGGGGGGACGCGCCGCCGGGGGGGGUGUGGCGGUGGGCUCUCUCUUCUGGAGCGCUGCGGCCCUGGUGGACCUGAGACCAACAACAACAACAACGUCACACUCCUCUUCUGCCCUCUGACCUGACGCUCAUUCACUGAGAGCGGGCAUCGGACAGCCAGGUGCAUGCUGGGACGCGCUGCAGCCUCAGGUGACGUGAUACCGGGCCGCU